AGAAGUGUUACAGAGUGAAUAUAUCCUGCCGCAACUCAUUUGUUGAAGCUCUAACCCCCAGUGCAAUGGAAUUUAGAGGAGCAGACAAGAUUGGCAAUAAGCAGCAGAGUCACAUGCCUCCAGUACCAAGAUCAUAUUUUCCAUUUACUGAAUAUUAUUCUCAGUAUUCUGGGUCAAGGUCCAGAACUUUCAUGCACAGUUAAUUGUAUUUUACGUGUCAAACACCCUAAAUUUUGUCCCUCCGGUAGCAUUGUUAUCAAUAGAACUCAGACCUGGACCAGAAGGGGCUGUGCCUCAGCAGCUGCUAAAGCUGCCUUUCACCACAUACUCCCCACAGGGCCAAGGACAUGUGGCCACUCAGAGCCUGUGCUCCACCUUGUAGACCAUGACAUGGGUACCUGGGACUCUGGAUGGCUGUUCCAAAAGCCCCAAGCCCACUUCCCAGCUCUGUGGGGCUCUUUCCUGAAGUAUCUCUUUCUGCUGAGUUGCCGGCAGGGUGUGUCCAGGGUGAACCACAAUGGUGUCAAGAAACAGCCGUGUGUUCUCAUUGUUCAAUUCCCACCUAUGAGUGAGAACAUGCAGUGUUUGGUUUUUUGUCCUUGUGAGUUUGCUGAGAAUGAUGGUUUCCAGCUUCAUCCAUGUCCCCACAAAGGACAUGAACUCAUCAUUUUUUAUGGCUGCAUAGUAUUCCAUGGUGUAUAUGUGCCACAUUUU
rnacentral:lncRNA from 1 species